UACGAAGGGGGCUAGCGUUGCUCGGAAUCACUGGGCGUAAAGGGUGCGUAGGCGGGUCUUUAAGUCAGGGGGUGAAAUCCUGGAGCUCAACUCCAGAACUGCCUUUGAUACUGAAGAUCUUGAGUUCGGGAGAGGUGAGUGGAACUGCGAGUGUAGAGGUGAAAUUCGUAGAUAUUCGCAAGAACACCAGUGGCGAAGGCGGCUCACUGGCCCGAUACUGACGCUGAGGCACGAAAGCGUGGGGAGCAAACAGG
rnacentral:rRNA from 1 species